rnacentral:piRNA from 1 species
UGACAAGAGAAAACCACCAGGGAGCCAGGGC